GGGGAUUUAGCUCAGUGGCAUAAGUGCCUACCUUGAAAGUAGGCAGUCAUGAGUUUGAUCCCCA
rfam:Cavia porcellus supercont2_9 genomic scaffold, whole genome shotgun sequence.